rnacentral:lncRNA from 10 species
AAAGGGAUGAGUCUUGGAGCUUCUGGAAGCUGGCCUGGAACUGAGCACUUACUGCAGACAGUGCCUGAAGUGCAAACCCAAAGGCACUUGGCCCUGCUUUCAGACAGUGAAACUGAAUCUUGGAAGUCUAAAGGGACUCAGGGACUCAAGUGUGAUUGUGAGCUCCUAAAGUUUAAAAGUCUUCAGUUCCAGUUCAUUUUCAAUUCCUGAAUAAAGGGAUGAGUCUUGGAGCUUCUGGAAGCUGGCCUGGAACUGAGCACUUGCUGCAGACAAUGCCUGAAGUGCAAACCCAAAGCAAUAAGGAAAAAACAGAAAUUUUCACACCAAAGACCCUGUGUUGGGCUCGGAAGAACUGGUGGCUUAACUGAGGAGUCACGGAACACUGCUCUCGGAAACUGUUAGGGCAAUUGAAAAAAAAAAAAAAGAAUAAAGACAAUGAAGAGGCUUAAUUCUCCCUGUUAAAAACAAGGGAAGCGGAGGGCAGCCAAGAUGGCCGAAUAGGAACAGCUCUGGUCUACAGCUCCCAGCGUGAGUGACGCAGAAGACGGGUGAUUUCUGCAUUUCCAUCUAAGGUACCAGGUUCAUCUCACUAGGGAGUGCCAGACAGUGGGCACAGGACAGUGGGUGCAGUGCACUGUGCAUGAGCUGAAGCAGGGUGACGCAUUGCCUCACUCGGGAAGCGCAAGGGAUCAGGGAGUUCCCUUUCCUAGUCAAAGAAAGGGGUGACAGACAGCACCUGGAAAAUCGGGUCACUCCCACCCUAAUACUGCGCUUUUCCGAUGGGCUUAAAAAACGGCGCACCAGGAGAUUAUAUCCCGCACCUGGCUCGGAGGGUCCUACGCCCACAGAGUCUCGCUGAUUGCUAGCACAGCAGUCUGAGAUCAAACUGCAAGGUGGCAGCGAGGCUGGGGGAGGGGUGCCCACCAUUGCCCAGGCUUGCUUAGGUAAACAAAGCAGCCGGGAAGCUCAAACUGGGUGGAGCCCACCACAGCUCAAGGAGGCCUGCCUGCUUCUGUAGGCUCCACCUCUGGGGGCAGGGCACAGACAAACAAAAAGACAGCAGUAACCUCUGCAGACUUAAAUGUCCCUGUCUGACAGCUUUGAAGAGAGCAGGGGUUCUCCCAGCACGCAGCUGGAGAUCUGAGAACGGGCAGACUGCCUCCUCAAGUGGGUCGGGUCCCUGACCCCUGACCCCCGAGCAGCCUAACUGGGAGGCACCCCCCAGUAGGGGGUACUGACUGACACCUCACAUGGCCGGGUACUCCUCUGAGACAAAACUUACAGAGGAACGAUCAGACAGCAGCAUUUGUGGUUCACGAAAAUCCGCUAUUCUGCAGCCACUGCUGCUGAUACCCAGGGAAACAGGGUCUGGAGUGGACCUCUAGCAAACUCCAACAGACCUGCAGCUGAAGGUCCUGUCUGUUAGAAGGAAAACUAACAAACAGAAAGGACAACCACACCAAAAACCCAUCUGUACAUCACCAUCAUCAAAGACCAAAAGUAGAUAAAAC